AGCGAACGCUGGCGGCAGGCUUAACACAUGCAAGUCGAGCGGGCAUAGCAAUAUGUCAGCGGCAGACGGGUGAGUAACGCGUGGGAACGUACCUUUUGGUUCGGAACAACUGAGGGAAACUUCAGCUAAUACCGGAUAAGCCCUUACGGGGAAAGAUUUAUCGCCGAAAGAUCGGCCCGCGUCUGAUUAGCUAGUUGGUGAGGUAAUGGCUCACCAAGGCGACGAUCAGUAGCUGGUCUGAGAGGAUGAUCAGCCACAUUGGGACUGAGACACGGCCCAAACUCCUACGGGAGGCAGCAGUGGGGAAUAUUGGACAAUGGGCGCAAGCCUGAUCCAGCCAUGCCGCGUGAGUGAUGAAGGCCCUAGGGUUGUAAAGCUCUUUUGUGCGGGAAGAUAAUGACGGUACCGCAAGAAUAAGCCCCGGCUAACUUCGUGCCAGCAGCCGCCGCAG
rnacentral:rRNA from 1 species